rnacentral:lncRNA from 1 species
GGAAGGACUGGCAGAGAAGACAACACCGAGAGUGGGGAUUUUUUUUGCCCUGCCUUUAGCUCCUUGCUGUUUGUCACAGCCUGCUCUUGCCUACCCACAGCAGCACGGGGAGCCCCAGCAUCCUGCACUGGGAGGCUGCUGGCUUUCCAAGCCUGGUAAAAACCAGGAGAGGCUUAACUUCCCUGCUUUGAAAAAAACAUCAGAAAUAUCCAAUAUCAAUAUUCUCGUCAAAUGGAGACAGGAAACCUAAGACAGGGAGCGGGGGCAGUCAGGCUUAUUAGCUGACUGCCUUCUCCAGCAGACUCAGUUAAAGAUGAGAGUUUUCCUCCUCUCCAGUCUUCUGGAAGAGCUUUUGCAAAGGCAGGAUCCCCAUUUCUCCUCCCUUGGAGCACCCCGCUACUCCCAACACCCCACGGACCCCUCAAUAAGCCUCUUUCCCCGGAGCAAGGCGAGGGGAAUCCCUCACUGAGCCAAAUCCCCUUACACAAACGCCUCGCCAGUCUUGUGACUUGCAAGGAGAGGCCAACUCCAAAUCUUCCAGCCUCCUCCCAGGAACCCUACAGCCCCCCCCAGGCUCGGUUUCCUCCACGUCCCCAUCUGUAACAGCAGCAAUCUCGCUGCAGAGAGCCGGCGCGUUCGCACAGAGCAGGCCUGCACGACAAAGGCAGAGCCCCAACCAUCUCCAAAAGGCCCUCGCAGGAAAAAAAACCAAAACACAAACCAACAAGAAAAAACCAAACCAAACAAACCAAAGUGGCUGGAGCUCAGACAUCACGUUUCGUAACAUGAGGAGAUCCCACAUGCAUGGAAAGGAGUCAGAGCUGGACACUCCCGUGGCCAGAAGGGAGUGAGGACAGAGCAAAUGAAUUUUUCCUGCCUUUUUCCCUCCACCUGGCAGAAAGGCUGUCUGAAAUCACACGGCAGAUAGGUCUAUCCAUGGCCUCUCCCAGUGCUCCGCAGAAUGAAAACUACCCUGUCUCCUCUGGUUUUAAUAUAAAAGUACUCCCUGUGAGGAGUACGCCAGGCAGGACUUCCCGGGAGCAUCCGUAGAGAGCAUCCACGACUCCCCGAUGAGAUGGAGAGUGCUGGUCUCAGCAGAUGACAGCAGCUCCGUCCCCGGCACUGCGCAG